rfam:Solanum tuberosum cultivar DM 1-3 516 R44 scf00260_48, whole genome shotgun sequence.
GUUGCUUCUUAUGGUGAACUCUCUUUGUAAUAAAGUGAGGGAUGUUCAAGUUUCCGAAGCAUAAAUUAACUUGUCAGUAUUAAACAGCAUGGUGCAUUUCCGAUUGCAUCUUGUUACCUGUCUCCUGCUACAUUC